AGGUAUUAAAGAAGCAGCAACAGCCACAGAAAGUAGCCAUCUUAUCCAGCACGUUAUGGGUAGAACUUGGCGGCUCCUGCUCCUGCCUUCCACCACCACCCUGUCCCGACUGCUUCCACUAGAGAGUUGGCAACCUUAGUGAUGAUGCCAAGCAGUCCGAUGGCAGACGGCAAGAUGCAGGUUGCUGCGAAAUUUUACCCGAGCUGGGCCACACACUUGAGCCAGGCCUCUUGGAAAGGAUGCCAUAAUCAGACUCCACGCGUCGAUGUCAGAGGAUGCCA